CCCGCAGGCUGCGUCGGGCGGCUGGGUGGGUUGCAUCACGCUCCUCGGUUAUAUAGCGGGCCCAGGGCUGCCAGCGGGGAGGGGUCGGGAAUGCGGAACCGGCCGGGCUGCCAGCGCCAGACGUCAGGAGCAGGAGGAAUGGGAGGGGGAGCAGGAGGAGGAGGACGGGCCAGGCCGGGGGCGGAGUUGUUGUUGUCCUCCUUGUAAUAUUUGUAUCCCGCUUUGAUUGCUGUGGCAGAAGCUGGAUCUACACAACCUUAUAUCCCAGGAUCUUAUCUGGCAGUGGACACUCGCCCUUCCACACAGCCUUAUAAUCCAGAAUAUCAAGGCAGAAUAACCCACAAUAUCUGCUUUGAACUGGGUUAUCUGAGUUCACACUGCCAUAUAUCCCAGCUCAAAGCAGAUAGUGUCAGCAGCACCAUAAUUUUUUCCUCUGUUCGGUUAUAUGGCUGUGUGGAAAGGCCCCUGUGAGUUAUCCCAACUCACAUUCUCUCAGCUUUAAAGGAAGGCAAACCACAUCCAAAUAAAUAUUGCCAAGAAAAUCCCAUGCUAACUUGCCAUAAAUUGGAAAUGACUUGAAGGCACACAGCAGCAACAAAAUCUUCAUUCUCUAUAUAGAAUCAGAAUCUGCCUAGAAUCAGAAUCUGCCUACCUACCUGUCUAAGCUACCUUCCUUUCAUUUUUUCAUUCCUUCCCUCACUCAUCUUUCUUUCUUUCCUUCCUUCCUCUCUCCCUUCAUACCCCUCCCCUGCAUUAAUUUUUUUGUUGAAGAGUUAAAUGAAGAGAGAGCAAAUAGGCUGCUGCUUGUUUUGUCCCUACUCGAGCUGUGAGGGGAUCUCUCUGAGGCGGACAGUGCAACCACUGUGGUGUUGCCGCAGUAAGGGAGGUGAACCGGGAGCUGAGAGGUGAAGGUCCUUGUUUAACAGCUUUCCAUUUGUUUACCAAAAAAAUAUUAUUCCAUCAUAAAAAUUCCCAAAAUAGUUCCCUUCUUGACAGACUGACUGGCAGCUGUCCAGCUCUUGCAGAGCCUUGCUAAAAUCAAAGGAAGAAAGAGCUAAUCUGGUACCAAAUGCCCAGAAAAGCCUGCACGUUCUGAACACUCUUAUUCAAUGGAUUAGUGCAUAGUUGAGUAGUG
rnacentral:lncRNA from 1 species